rnacentral:piRNA from 1 species
UAAGUUUGAGAAAGGCGUGCACUUGUU